CGGGUCCCGUCUGGUGUGGAGGUCUGCAAGCGCAAUGGCCCGGGCACUGGUAUAUGCCCGCUCUGUGGGGUCCCUGAAGACUCGAACCACAUUUUCUUCGCUUGCGUCUCCGCUCAGUUCCUCUGGAGCUGUUUUCGCGAGGUUGUCGAUGGAAGUUGGUGCCACACCAAUUUCCCGGACUUAUUUGCUGAACUCCAGAUGUCCCCCGUGUCCUCUCGCCACAUUAGGUGGCUUGAGGUUGGGGUUCUUGCCUGGACUCUUUGGACCGUUCGCAAUAAGCUUGUGAUCCAGCGUACCCCCCUUCCUCGCGCUACUGACGCUCUCUACAAACUCUCGGGUUUCUUGCAGCUUUGGCGGCCGCUUAGCCGCCCCCUGGACCGUGACGCCAUCUCCGCCUUCAUCGCCGACCUCCGCUCGAUGGCCGUCCGCCUGUCGCCGCCGCCCCCUCCGCCCCCGCCGGAUCCAGACUAG
rnacentral:rRNA from 1 species